GGAUGUUUUGAUCUACGGUUUAAAAACCAACAAAUGCAGAAGGCAAAUGGAGGACUCAGACAGCGUACCGCAGUUUCCUCACACUGACAAACGUACCAUCUCAAACAAUGGCUUCAACUUGGUUAGCACAGAACUUCGAGAUGAUGCUGGAGUGAUAGCAUGCAUUCUUACAAAAAGAACGAUGCACUUGUCAUAAUCUUCGGGAGGCUUGGCAGGUGGUCUAGGGACACAUAGCAUUCUGGUUGACUGCAAUACCACUUACAAAAAGAAGUUGAGUGCACGAUGGAAAUCCUUCUCUCCAUAAUCCACUCUUGUUCAGAACUGCAUUCUUUAGCAAAACAAUUACUGCUUGCAAAUUUCUCUCGACUCAAAAAUUUCCGCUACACUGACAUGUUCAUGAUCUGCAUGUGGUGCUUACAAAAGUUCCAUUGCUCUUGCAUUUGAUAGACAAGAUGACUAGCGCUCGAUAGUUUCUUAAGGCAAAAACAACUAGCCCACUCCCUAAUUUUCUUAACAAUAACUACAAACUGAGGCUCAAUAAGUCCCAAUGAAUCAAGGUCAUUAUCAGAGAUAAGUCGCAUGUGAACCAAAAUUAGUAAUACAAGAAUAGUAGUCAUCAGGGGGCUCACCAUAUUGUGCAGCUCCCCGAAACGUUUUCUAGGGUUUCGAGUGGAAAGGCGGCGCUCGGGCGACUUCCUCCUCCGAGGCGCGAUCGGAAGAUCUACCCCGCGUCCUUCCCUGCCGGGCCUUGUGCUGUACGGGAGGGAUCGGCGGCGAUGGCGAGCUCGUCUACGAAUGCUGCGAGAGAGAAAGAGGGGAUGGAGAAGAUGAUGGAGAAGAUGAACCUGACGGAUCGGGAGAGUGCAAAGCUGGUAGUUGAUGAUGAGGAUGAGAUGCAAGGGGAAUCGAUCUUGGGUGUGGUCGGAAAGGUCUUGAACAGGAGGGUUCUGCAUGUCAACACCAUUGAGGAGGCGCUGCGUCCGGCAUGGGGCAAUGUGCGAGGUCUCUGUUUUAGUCCGGCGGGGGACAACAUGUUCCUGGCAAGCUUCGAAGGCAAGAGGGAGAGAGAUAGGAUCUUUGAAGGGGGGCCGUGGAUGGUUGGAAAACAUGUCGUGGUACUGGAAAUCCUCGAUGCUAGGGCACGGCCCUCUGAUCUAAAGUUCGAGAUGAUGCAAAUCUGGGCUAGGGUAAUCAACCUACCCUUUAACCUGAGAUGUCCUCCAUGCCCGGAAAGAAUCGCAAAGUUAGUUGGGAAGGUGAUCAGGGUGGAUGUUGAUGCGAAGGGUUUUGCUUUCGGGGAAGCGCUGAGAGCGAGGGUGUGGAUAAAUGUCAAUGAGCCACUAAUAAGAUGGGUUCGGCUGGAAUCGGCAAAGACGAAAGAAGUGGUAUUUUAUGAUAUCCAGUAUGAAGCUUUUCCCUAUUUCUGUUUCUCGUGUGGUUGUCUUGGGCAUGCGGAUCUUUACUGUCCGACCCCGGCAGAGAGGGAUGCCAAUGGACGGCUCCCAUAUGGAGAAAACUUGAGAAUGCCAGUUCGCAAGAGGAGCUGGGAAAAUAUACCCAUGAGGGGUGGCAGGAACCCGACAGCUGGUCGGCAGGAAGAAAAGGGAGGAGAAGAAGAUGAAGUUGAGAAAGGAGAAGAAGUGACCUCUCCAGACAAGGCUAUUGAUGGCCGAGUGCAAGCAGCGGUAUACCAGUUUAAUGCCAGAGGUGGUGGACUAGGAAGAGGUGCUCCGUAUCAAAGGGGACGUAACCAUUCUAAUGGAAAGAACCAAGUAUACAGAAGGGUGAACAUGGAUGCCCAUCAAGGAGAUGUGGUGGAGAGGAGACAGACUCAGCUCAUGCUAGUUGAUCAGGAAACGCUGAACAAGAAACGAGCUAAUGAAGAAGAGCUGUCGAGCGAGUCGCGGACAGAUAGUAGGGAUUCAAAGAAGAAGAAAGCGGAGGGGGAAGCUGACACGUUGAUAUUGGCGGAGGCUGCUGAUCAGCCCCGCCAGGACCAAUGGAUUGCUUCGCUUGGAACUGUCGCGGGCUUGGGAACCCGGUGACAGUUCGUGAACUCCACCAUCUGGUGAGAGUGGAAGCGCCCGCCUUGGUGUUUGUUGCUGAAACAAAGAUCGAGGGUUCGAAAGUUGCAGACUUAACGAGGAGAUUGGGUUUUGCUGGAUGUUUGCUCGUAAGCAGUGUAGGCUUAAGUGGCGGUUUGGCCUUAUUUUGGUCACAAGAGGUGGAAGUAAAACUGAACAAUUGUUCUGAUCAACAUAUUGACGUGGAAGAACAGAAUGUUGGAUGGGAUCGGCNNNNNNNNNNNNNNNNNNNNNNNNNNNNNNNNNNNNNNNNNNNNNNNNNNNNNNNNNNNNNNNNNNNNNNNNNNNNNNNNNNNNNNNNNNNNNNNNNNNNNNNNNNNNNNNNNNNNNNNNNNNNNNNNNNNNNNNNNNNNNNNNNNNNNNNNNNNNNNNNNNNNNNNGGAAGACGUGGAGGUUUACUGGUUUUUAUGCCAAAGCUCGUCGUAGUGAGAGAGCCCAGAGCUGGGAUCUUCUCAGGAGUUUAAAAGUUCAGAGCUCUUUACCAUGGCUGUGUUGGGGAGACUUUAAUGAGAUAGUCAACAAUUCAGAGUACUUUGGUACACAUGACAGAACGGAGUGCCAGAUGGUAGGAUUUUGUGAGGCCAUAGAUGAUUGUGAACUCCAUGAUCUUGGGUUUAAGGGGACCCCGUUCACGUGGGACAAUCGGAGAGAGGGAGCAGCAAAUGUCAAAGUUAGGCUGGAUAGGUUUCUGGCCAAUCCAGAGUUUUUGUCUUUGUAUGAGGCAACAAGAGCGUGCCAUAUACCUUCACCAAGGUCUGAUCACUGUAUCGUAUCAGCUAAAAUAAAUCAUGUGAACGCUGAGGAUAGGAGGGGGAGGCCCCGGUUUAUCUAUGAAGAUGCUUGGCACAGGGAAGAAUCGUACACAUCCGCGGUGUAAAAUGGCUGGGAGCAGGGGGGAGGACACCUCUCCCUUUGGGGUCUCCAAACUAGAUUAAAACAUAUGCAAAGCCAUCUAACCGACUGGAAAGAAAAGAAGUUUGGUGAUGUGAGAAGAAAAUUAAAGAAAGUGAGGAAAGAGUUUGAAAAGGAAAAAAGCAGCUCCCUAUACCGAGGAUCUUCAGAUCGGGAGAAGGAGUUGGCAAAGCAGCUGAAUGAGCUUUUGUUGAGGGAGGAGAUCAUGGCACGCCAAAGAUCCAGGGUGAACUGGUUGAGGGAGGGCGAUCGUAAUACUGGAUUUUUUCAUGCACAGUCAAAAGCUCGACGGAUGCGCAAUAGCAUCACAGCCUUGGUGGAUGCGCAAGGCCAACUGUGUGACAGCAAGGAGGCAAUACACGAGGAAAUACAACAGUUUUACACUAACCUAUACGCUGCACAGGAAGUUCUCGUACCGGAGGAGGUGUUGCACCAUGUGCCGGCAAAGGUAACAGUGCAAAUGAAUGAGAGACUCACCAGGGAAUAUCAGGCCGAUGAGAUUCGGAAUGCUUUGUUUGGUAUGGCUCCGUCAAAAGCACCUGGGGAAGAUGGGUUUAAUGCUGGCUUCUACCAGAGGCAUUGGGGAUUGGUAGGUGAUGAUGUGACAAAGGCAGUGCUCAAUUUCUUAAAUGGGGGCCAAAUGCGAGGGGAGGUAAAUAGGACAGUGAUUGUCCUCAUCCCAAAGGUUAAAAAUCCUCAAAACAUAACUCAAUACAGACCUAUAUCCUUGUGUAAUGUUAUUUAUAAACUUUGCUCUAAGGUUCUGGCUAAUCAUCUUCGUGAGAUUCUUGAUGAGAUCGUCUCCGAAGAACAAAGUGCCUUCGUACCAGGGAGGCUCAUCACAGACAAUAUCCUUACAGCUUAUGAGUGUAUCCAUGCGAUGAAGAGGAAGAAAGGGAAGCAGGGGUGGUGUGCCGUUAAAAUUGACAUGAUGAAAGCAUAUGAUCGGGUAGAGCGGGACUAUCUGCAAGGGAUCAUGAGUCAAUUGGGUUUCUGUGAGAGAUGGAUAUCUAUCAUAAUGAAAUGUGUCAAGACAGUCUCUUUCUAGGUGAAGGUGAAUGGAGAGCUACUACAAAGUUUCAUUCCAACGCGGGGGUUGAGACAAGGAGACCCAAUCUCUCCUUAUUUGUUCCUCCUAUGUGGAGAAGGCCUGUCAUGCAUGUUAAAGAAUUAUGAUGGCGGUUGGAUUGAUCAAGGGAUCCGGGCAGGCCAGAGAUCUCCUUGGGUGUCACAUUUGCUCUUUGCAGAUGACUGUUUGGUUUUUAUGAAAGCGGACAGUAGGAGUGCAACUCGGAUGAAUGAAAUCUUAAGUGCAUACUGUAUUGGGUCAGGCCAAAGUGCCAAUAAGCAUAAGAGCUCAGUGUUCUUUAGUCCAAAGUGUGGGGCUUCAACAAAACGUGGAGUGCGGAAUGUUCUGCAGAUACAGAGAGAAGCACUGACAGAGAAGUAUCUUGGUCUGCCGACUGCUGCAGGGAAGAUUACAGAGCAGAAUUUCGAACACAUUGUGGAAUCAGCAAGAUCAAAUGUUCAGGGGUGGAGUUUUAGGAAAGCAUCUUGUGUAGGGAGAGAGGUGCAUAUCAAAUCUGUAGUCCAAGCUCUGCUUGCUUUCUCUAUGAGUUGUUUUAAACUAACAAAAGGGUUGUGCCGAAAGUUGACGACAGUUAUGUCCAAAUACUGGUGGAGUGGUUCGCUAGAUAAGAAAGGGAUGCAUUGGCAAGCAUGGUCGAGCAUGGCGACCCCAAAAGCGCAGGGAGGAAUUGGAUUCCAUGAUCUCGAGCUGUUCAAUGAUGCCUUGUUGGCAAAGCAAGCAUGGAGACUGAUGAGUUUCCCAGAAUCUUUGUGUUCACGGGUGUUGAGAGGGAGAUAUUGUGUGGAAGGUGACUUCUUACAGGCCGCAUGCCCUGCCAAUUCCUCGCGUACUUGGUGGGCAAUCAUACAGGGGAGGGAGGUUCUGAAGAAGGGGCCGAUCCGCAGGGUGGGAGAUGGCCGCACUACUGAGAUUUGGCAUGAUCACUAGAUAGCGGGAUCACCUUCGAUGAAGCCAGUCUGCAGGUUGUCUGAUGAACCUGUGCAGCUUGUGUCGGAUCUGCUACAGGAAGACACCGGGGAAUGGAAACGAGAGUUGCUCCAAAGAUUGUUCCUACGAUCGGAUGUGGAGGCAAUCAUGAAUAUGCCUAGACCAAGGAUUGUCGUUGAUGAUUUCUGGGCGUGGGCAUGGGAUCGUUCGGGUAUUUUCUCGGUCAAGACAGCUUACAGAGAGCUGAAGCGUCGACAGACUGAGAUGCAAGGGGUUCCCAGCAGCUCGGCUGGUGAUGAGGAAAUAUGGAAAAGCUUGUGGAAGCUCAAGGUUCAACCAAAAAUUCGGGUGUUCUAGUGGAGGGUGAUCAAGGGCUUUCUGCCGGCAAGGGCUGAGCUCGUCAGGAGACAUGUAGGAGAAGUUGCUACAUGUGCACUAUGUGGCAAUGAGGAUGAAACGUUGUUCCAUACCUUUGUUACUUGCAACCAGGCGACACAAUUCUGGACGGAAACACUUCGGUUCUUUGGGGUAAAACUCCCAAGGUUAUACCAAGCGACAUGGACCAGGGACCUACUGGAUCCAAGGUUUAUCGCCAAGGAGGACGCAGCGGUGAUCAUCUCUGUUAUGUGGGCUAUAUGGGGUAGCCGCAACAAAUACACACAUGGUGAGACAAUGUUUCAACCCUUAGAUCGAUGGAGAUCAUCCAGGAGCACAUCAGAUCACUCUACAUCCCAGCCAAACAGCAUGCUAGUCCAAAGGUGAUGGAGCUUUGGAUGAGACCGGAGGUGGGGGUGAUCAAGAUUAACUCCGAUGCGGCAAUUGAUGCAAUGGGUGGACGAGCAGGCACCGACGUGGUUGCAAGGGAUCAUGAAGGCAGAUUCAUUGUCGCAAAGUUCAGCCCAUAUGUUGGUAUUACUGACCCCUAUGUUAGUGAAGCUUUGGGAUGCAGAGAUGCUAUGAUUCUAGCCAAGGAGAGACGCUGGCCAUUCAUUCAAAUCUCAACAGACUGCAAGACAGUGGUAGAAGACUGGAAUGGAGGAAGGGACCGUUCUAGUUGUGGUCCCAUUUUUAGAGAGAUGUCCUCAUAUCUCUCGUGUUUUCAGGGUGUCGAAUUAAAGUUUAGUGGAAGAGAAGCAAAUGUAGUAGCUCAUAUGUUGGCAACAAGAGGGCUCUUCACUGAGAUGCAUAGUGUAACUAUGGAUGUUAUCCCUAACUUUCUGAGUGCGGCUGUGCACUCAGAUUAUGUGCGGCCUUGGAUUAAAUAAAAUGCCUGAGGGCCAUAUCUAAAAAAAAGGGGGGCUCACCAUUAGGUAGUUUUGGGCACAAUUUUCAGCUGGGCAUCAAUUAAUCGCCCGAUCACAGAGUAGCUCUUGCCACCGAAAGGAUCCAGCAAACAAUCUUCUUCGAAGAACAUGGUGUCAGGUGCACACUUGGUAGAUACGUCCAAUAUGCUCUCAGAUAUGCAAUGCUCCAAAAUUUCCAACGCAAUGACAUGCUCAAGACCAACACUGCUCGGCAAUCACAUGAAAAUGAUGGCCAAGGUGGCUUCAGCUAGGAUUGUGUCUUCACUGAACUUGGACAUAGGCCAUGGCUCAAGUUGCAUAGUGUAGCCUGCACUGCAUUUUGUUGCCCUUCCCAUGAUUGUAGAUCUAUUCCCACACAAGAAGUGAAUCAAUAGUAUAUGCCAAGAGUACAGUCUGAACAACAACAUUAGCAAACAAAACUGGAAAUUGAACCCUCAUGCUUGUAACAGACAAGUUCAUACAGCCCAAAUUGCAUGAACCGAAGAAACUUUUGUGCUUCAAUGUUCCUUGCUUAGAGCAACCAUUUUCUGCUUGCUCAGAAAUAGAUGUCCAUCCGUGAUUGUUAGAUUGGAGUGCUGCACAGGAGGAGCCAUAGUAAUAGAGCAAGCACACACUAGUAAAACGGGGCUUUAGUCCCGUUUCGUAAGGGCCUUUAGUCUCGGUUAUUAUUGCUGAAAUUAUUACAGGGUCUAUAUAGAAUAAGGCCAUUGCUAGCAGUUGACAAAAUGUUUAAAAAUGGUAAUGACAUAAGUUACGGCACGCAUGCACAAUACAACUUGAUGUUGAGGCACUCCGUUGCACAAUGCUGCUUACUGAUGUGAUCGGCACUGGGCAAGUUAUUU
rnacentral:lncRNA from 1 species